GACUCUCGGCAACGGAUAUCUCGGCUCUCGCAUCGAUGAAGAACGUAGCAAAAUGCGAUACUUGGUGUGAAUUGCAGAAUCCCGUGAACCAUCGAGUCUUUGAACACAAGUUGCGCCCCAAGCCUUCUGGCCGAGGGCACGUCUGCCUGGGUGUUA
rnacentral:rRNA from 1 species